rnacentral:rRNA from 1 species
CUUUCGCAAGGGGAAGCGAAAACGGUUUACCCGGGGUGGGAUUAUCCCGGGUGAAUAAAUGACGGGUACCCUUGAUAAAGAAAGGCACCCCGGCCUAACUAACGUGCCCAGCCAGCCCGCCGGGUAAUACGUUAAGGGGUGGCGAGGCGUUUAAUCGGAAUUACUGGGCGUAAAGGCGGUGCGGCAGGGCUGUUUUUGUAAAGUCCAGAUGUGAAAUCCCCGAGCUCAACUUGGGAACUGCCGCCUUGAAACUACAAGACUAGAAUAGGUCAGAGGGGGGUAGAAUUCCACGUGUAGCAGUGAAAUGCGUAGAGAUGUGGAGGAAUAUCAAUGGCGAAGGCAGCCCCCUGGGAUCAUAUUGACGCUCAUGCACGAAA